AUAGUAUAUGGGAUAUCAUUUAUUAAAAAUUAUGAGCUUUAAUAAGUUAGCUCAAUUUGGCUUCAACAAAGAUGAGAUGAAAAAUUGAGAGUUCAUUUAACUAGAGCUAGGUUUGCAGGUCAACCCGCCAAUCUGCGGGUCAAUUCGUUUUUUUUUUACUAAAAAUUCUGAUCCGUAUGAUCCGCAAAGAAAAAAUGAUAUACCCACACUCGCCUCGUUGAGAUUUGUGGAUAAUCCGUGGGACCUGCAGGUAAUAUUACAUUUAAUAAAAUAAUUAUUUUUAUUAUAUAUUAAUUAGUUUUAUAAAAAAUAAUAUAAAUUAUAUAUUUAUAUUUAAAAUUAUAUAAUUUUUAAAAAUAUUUUCUAUAUUUUUAUGAAUUUUUUUUAUUUUUUUUACAAAAUUUUGUUUUUUUAUUAGUUUUACAGGUUAACGGGUAUCCGCGACUCAAAUUUAGUCGACCCGCAUCCGCCAUGCUUAAAAUUGAGUCAAUCCACACCUGCACCGCAUGUUAAAUUUUUUUAAUCGGUCGACCCACACCCUCCCCGCGGCAGGUCAAACGGGGCAGGACCGGCCGAUAAUGACUCAGAUUCCCAGCACCACAUUUAACCAAGCAUAAUAAACAAGCAUAGAAGAGAGUUGCUUGAUAUCAAAAAUGAUACCAAAGAUCUCCUUGAUUUAAUGCUUGUUGUUGAUUAUUCAACAAGCCUUAAAACAGUCGGAGCACACUCCAAAAUUGGUAAUUCAAGAGUUGAUGUCAUGAGGAUUCCCGAUCGAACUACUAGAGCCUCCGCCCACUAUAAAGGAGUAAACAAUAUAUGUGUUCCCUCUCGGGAUCGGUGACUUGACGACUUUGUGAAGAUCCAAGCAAGUCAUGCCUUGCUUGAGAUUUCGUCCGAGAUGAAUAUGUGUUGCAUGUGAUGUUUGGGUCUCGAAUAUCCACUUGUUAUUGGUGAUUAUAUUUACGAGGUACAUGUAUUUGAUCUGUCGACUCUAACCCUUGUGUUUGAAUCCAUUCUCUAGCUAACCCUAAUCAUUUUGUAACCACUUCAACAGAGGAUAGGCUACGGUUUCCAAGGAUCAAUCUAUUUUAGGCCCGUUCGGAUAGACCAACAAAGCUUUGGGAGAAUAAAAGUCGUUAUACCAGAUGGUGGUAGGCAAACCAGCUUGAUUGAAUAAUUGAAUAAUCUUGAAACCCAAACCUCUUUCUACUGUUGGUUUUGCUAGAUUAUCCCAUGAAAGCCAUUAUUUUUUUUCAUCUGAGAUGUCCUACCAAAAUAUAGUGAGAACUGAUUGUAUUCUCUUGCACAAACUGACAGGGAGUUCGAAACAAGACAUAGUGUAGACAUGAAAAUUUUCCCGAUUUACGUAUCGUCAAUUUUCCUGCUUUGGAUAAAAAUUGAGUUGGCCAGCUAGCAGCAGUUGUCGUAUCUUGUCCACUAAAGAAGUAAAUAGGUCUUUUUUCUUCUUCUGGAAUACUCUAUAAAUCCAAGUACUUGCCCACUCUCCUUCUUUUGAAAUACCAAAUAUUCUCUUUGAUGAUUCAUUUAUAUCCAAUGGGGUCUUCUUAGAGAAAGUGAUGGAAGACUUGGCGUUAUUUAUCUUUUGUCUUGGCACUUAUUCAUACUCCAGGAAGAUCUUCAUUAAUGUAUGACAAUUCUUUGGAGAGGUGAGGCAAAAAAACAUCAUGCCAUCUGGAAAAAAAGGAGAUGGUUCACUCUAGGACUGCUUCUUACUAUUCUUAUUCUCUGAAGUGAUCCAUCUCUUUCAGCGUUUCUCCACGUCAAUAUCACGAUGGCUCUUCGACAUUGGGUUAAACAUGCUCCCACUUAUAGGAAGGAGAGGAUAUACCUAUGAUCAGAACCUUCAUACAUGAGGUAUUGGCUCUUUCAUGUGGGGAAGAGUUGUUACCAUUGUUAUUGCUAAUAGCCAUUUAAGACUGAUAUUUUACCAGGUGUGCAUUUCUUUUUCCCCUCCAUGAUAAAUAACUACCAAAGUGUACUAGAUCAAAUAAAUCGUUUUGGGACAUAAAAGUUCUAAAAACACAAAAGGGGGCUUCUGCUCUGUCUGGUCCUUCCACCUUUCACUUUUAUCCACUAUCUCAUUUGAAGUCCUCCUUUAGAAACCAAGAACCUUUUGUAAUAGGAUUUAAGUCUUACAAUUUAUUCCAUAAUGCUAGCCUUUUAGAAUUAUCAGGUUUCCCAUAAACAUAGGCUGUACAGAAAUAUAUUCGUCUACUCGAGAUUGUAGUAUCAAUGUAUUUACGUGAUAAAUUUUAAUCGACUGACGACUGCAGGAUCGAAAUCCGCGAGUUUGCCUUGUAACAUGAUGUUAUCACCAAACGUAUGACUUUAAAUCAUGUAUAGUGAGAAUUUUUUUUUUUUUUUUUGUCAGGUUAUAGUGAGAAAUUCAAAUCACCCUAUCCAACAAUAUUGAUUUUUUACCUUGUUCUAUAGAACGAUAAGACAAAAUAGAUUCAAAACUAAAAGACUUAAGAAUAUAAU